AUUGAACGCUGGCGGCAGGCCUAACACAUGCAAGUCGAACGGUAACAGGAAGCAGCUUGCUGCUUUGCUGACGAGUGGCGGACGGGUGAGUAAUGUCUGGGAAACUGCCUGAUGGAGGGGGAUAACUACUGGAAACGGUAGCUAAUACCGCAUAACGUCGCAAGACCAAAGAGGGGGCCCUUCGGGCCUCUUGCCAUCGGAUGUGCCCAGAUGGGAUUAGCUAGUAGGUGGGGUAACGGCUCACCUAGGCGACGAUCCCUAGCUGGUCUGAGAGGAUGACCAGCCACACUGGAACUGAGACACGGUCCAGACUCCUACGGGAGGCAGCAGUGGGGAAUAUUGCACAAUGGGCGCAAGCCUGAUGCAGCCAUGCCGCGUGUAUGAAGAAGGCCUUCGGGUUGUAAAGUACUUUCAGCGGGGAGGAAGGGAGUAAAGUUAAUACCUUUGCUCAUUGACGUUACCCGCAGAAGAAGCACCGGCUAACUCCGUG
rnacentral:rRNA from 1 species